rnacentral:rRNA from 1 species
AGUGAACGCUGGCGGUAGGCCUAACACAUGCAAGUCGAACGGCAGCACAGGAGAGCUUGCUCUCUGGGUGGCGAGUGGCGGACGGGUGAGGAAUACAUCGGAAUCUACCCUUUCGUGGGGGAUAACGUAGGGAAACUUACGCUAAUACCGCAUACGACCUACGGGUGAAAGUGGGGACCGCAAGGCCUCACGCGAUUAGA